GACGUAGGGCGCGAGCGUUGUCCGGAUUUAUUGGGCGUAAAGAGCUCGUAGGCGGUGUGUCGCGUCGGCCGUGAAAACCUGCAGCUUAACUGUGGGCUUGCGGUCGAUACGGGCAUCACUGGAGUUCGGCAGGGGAGACUGGAAUUCCUGGUGUAGCGGUGAAAUGCGCAGAUAUCAGGAGGAACACCGGUGGCGAAGGCGGGUCUCUGGGCCGAUACUGACGCUGAGGAGCGAAAAGCGUGGGGAGCGAACAGG
rnacentral:rRNA from 1 species